GCAAAUCCCUUUCCAUGUGUGAAAUGUGUUCUUCUGAUACGUAGACAUGGCUGUGCUUCAAGAAACAGCCAGUGUCUCCGAUAUGGACCUGAUACUGUAUGGAUAUUAAAGUUAAGUAGACCUCUCCAAACAAGAAAUGAAGGUUGAAUUCUACAAGUACUCAGCACUCAAAACUCCUAUCAAAAACUGCAGGUGCUCAGCACUCCUUGAAGGCUACUCUUCUGAAGAAUUGUCCCUAAAAAUUUGUGUGCCUUUCUCCUAGCAUUCGCAAAGCUAUAGGUCUUCUCCAGAUGAUUUCCAGAUGAGCACAUGUAACUGGACCCACCCGAAGUUACAUGGCAGACAAGGAAAACACUAAAUAUAAAUAAAAAUGACCAUCUACUAUAUCUAGCCACACAAAUAUGAAGCAAUUAGGAAGAAAUGAAAGCAAUUAUAGAGUUUUGGGAAAUGCAGUCCUCUAUUCUGCAUUUACUAGUCACUGAACUAUUUGAAAGCUUUUCUCCUUUUUAAGUGAGAUUACCCUUGGCUGAAGAAAUUGAAGAGUUCUGAGACACAUCAUCACUGCGCAUUCCUGACUGCGUUAAGACUUCUUAGAUGGAGGCACAACUCCAUUGCCUUCCAUGUCUUCAGUUUUGCCAGAUUUCAUGCAAGAAGGAGAAAUUAAAGACUGAGGGCAAAUCUGUCAGUGAUACAAUAAAUUCUGUCCCUAUAACUAAUGAAAACUCUAAUGAAAGAUGCACAGGUUCCCAUGUGUGUCAAACCAUAUCCUAUGCUUUUGGCAUUGCUCAGGAUAAGCGAACUAACAGCUGGGGAUGAGAGGCAUUUUUUUUCCAAAUUACUCAUUUGCUCAAAAAUUCAGCUUCGGGAGAGCCAAAACUGCUUGCGAAUUCUACCUAAAUUCAUGGACUAAUUUCAAAUGAGACAAGACUGACAAAACAUUUCAGAAAUAUUGAAACAGUUGCUUACAGCAUUUUCAAAAUGAAUUGCUGUGAAGUUCUGGAGAUACUUAAUUUGUGACAGGUUUAAUAACUGAAGGAAAGAUUUAGCUUUGCAGUCACUGAUUUUCUUCUCUGCUUUGUCUCCUGUUCUCUUUGACCCCAGUAUUCUAAUGAUCUUAACUGCGUCCAGAUUCAAAUGUCUCAUCUGCUUCUGCGGAUCUGAAAAUACACUACUUGUCUCUCAUGAUAAAGCCUUCUCCAAUAUGUUAUAAUUAUGCUGGGGGAAGGUUAUUCUCAGCCUUGUUUGUUGAUACUGUUUCACCUUGCAUGUACUAUCCAAAUAUUUAGUAACUCCAGUGAUAAAUGUAUGUAAGAGUGAAUUUUUUGCCUCGUUUUUGGACACUUCUCCUGCAAAUCCAGGACCCAUGUUAUGUAUUCAAACCUACAGCAAGGAUUAAAAUUUCAGACUUGCAUCUUUUAGGUAAGUGUACUGGGUGAUUCGUUAUAUGGGCAGUAUAUAGACAAUAGCAAUACCUUUGUGGUUUGAGCUAUUUGUUUCCUUGUCUGUUCUUAAAAGUGUCCAGAAAUAGAAAGCUCAUUUUUGGUUUUACGUAUCUUGGAAAGGAAAAUGUAUUUCAUAUUCUGUCAUUCCAUUUUGGCCAGCAAAUAAAAAUCCCUAGUCUUUUCAAAAGUUCCAACAAAAGUAUGAAACGGGGAGAACAGAGGAUGAGUGACAAUACCUCCUUCACUGAUGUCUUGUUUGCUGUGCCUGUAGACAGAACUUAAUUCCCCAAAACCUUGAGUCCAUAGAAUAAGAAACAACAUCUAUUAGACAGUUCUGAAGGACAGGCAGCAGAACAGUAGAAGGUAAGGAGACACUUAGAAAGAAAAACGUAUUGUAUGUGAUCUCAAAACACAUGUAAUUAUGUGCCAGGCUUCUUUAUAUUCCCUCAUAUCUAUUUU